rnacentral:rRNA from 1 species
UACAGAGGUCUCAAGCGUUGUUCGGAUUCAUUGGGCGUAAAGGGUGCGUAGGUGGUGAUGCAAGUCGGGUGUGAAAUCUCGGAGCUCAACUCCGAAAUUGCACCGGAUACUGCGUGACUCGAGGACUGUAGAGGAGAUCGGAAUUCACGGUGUAGCAGUGAAAUGCGUAGAUAUCGUGAGGAGGACCAGUUGCGAAGGCGGAUCUCUGGGCAGUUCCUGACACUGAGGCACGAAGGCCAGGGGAGCAAACGGG